GAUGAACGCUGGCGGCGUGCCUAAUACAUGCAAGUCGAGCGAACGGACGAGAAGCUUGCUUCUCUGAUGUUAGCGGCGGACGGGUGAGUAACACGUGGAUAACCUACCUAUAAGACUGGGAUAACUUCGGGACACCGGAGCUAAUACCGGAUGAUAUUUUGAACCGCAUGGUUCAAAAGUGAAAGACGGUCUUGCUGUCACUUAUAGAUGGAUCCGCGCUGCAUUAGCUAGUUGGUAAGGUAACGGCUUACCAAGGCAACGAUGCAUAGCCGACCUGAGAGGGUGAUCGGCCACACUGGAACUGAGACACGGUCCAGACUCCUACGGGAGGCAGCAGUAGGGAAUCUUCCGCAAUGGGCGAAAGCCUGACGGAGCAACGCCGCGUGAGUGAUGAAGGUCUUCGGAUCGUAAAACUCUGUUAUUAGGGAAGAACAGAUGUGUAAGUAACUGUGCACAUCUUGACGGUACCUAAUCAGAAAGCCACGGCUAACUACGUG
rnacentral:rRNA from 1 species